CAUAAUAAGAAAAGAACACAGAAGAGAACAAUAUCCGGUCAGCUCCCUGCAGAAGUUAAAUGUGAAAAGAGCUAAAGAGGUGUGACUGGCAAGUUACAAGCAGGAGAGGACAGACGCAGAGACUGCCAGCAAAAACCGUCUUUCUUGGGGUUCCUGGGAUCGUUGCCUCACUCAGAGGGCUGGACCAGCUGGACCCUCACAAGCUUGAGGUGCUCAUAGAUGCUGUGUGAUAAAGCAGUUUCCAAAUCCCAUAGUGAGUCCUACUCAAAGAUAACCG